rnacentral:rRNA from 1 species
AGAGUUUGAUCCUGGCUCAGAGCGAACGCUGGCGGCAGGCUUAACACAUGCAAGUCGAGCGGGCGUAGCAAUACGUCAGCGGCAGACGGGUGAGUAACGCGUGGGAACGUACCUUUUGGUUCGGAACAACACAGGGAAACUUGUGCUAAUACCGGAUAAGCCCUUACGGGGGAAAGAUUUAUCGCCGAAAGAUCGGCCCGCGUCUGAUUAGCUAGUUGGUGAGGUAACGGCUCACCAAGGCGACGAUCAGUAGCUGGUCUGAGAGGAUGAUCAGCCACAUUGGGACUGAGACACGGCCCAGACUCCUACGGGAGGCAGCAGUGGGGAAUCUUGCGCAAUGGGCGAAAGCCUGACGCAGCAACGCCGCGUGAGGGAUGAAGGUCUUCGGGUUGUAAACCUCUUUCGAGCAGGGACGAUUGUGACGGUACCUGCAGAAGAAGC